GAUGAACGCUGGCGGCGUGCCUAAUACAUGCAAGUCGAGCGAACAGAUAAGGAGCUUGCUCCUUUGACGUUAGCGGCGGACGGGUGAGUAACACGUGGGUAACCUACCUAUAAGACUGGGAUAACUUCGGGAAACCGGAGCUAAUACCGGAUAAUAUUUCGAACCGCAUGGUUCGAUAGUGAAAGAUGGUUUUGCUAUCACUUAUAGAUGGACCCGCGCCGUAUUAGCUAGUUGGUAAGGUAACGGCUUACCAAGGCGACGAUACGUAGCCGACCUGAGAGGGUGAUCGGCCACACUGGAACUGAGACACGGUCCAGACUCCCACGGGAGGCAGCAGUAGGGAAUCUUCCGCAAUGGGCGAAAGCCUGACGGAGCAACGCCGCGUGAGUGAUGAAGGUCUUCGGAUCGUAAAACUCUGUUAUUAGGGAAGAACAUACGUGUAAGUAACUGUGCACGUCUUGACGGUACCUAAUCAGAAAGCCACGGCUAACUACGUG
rnacentral:rRNA from 1 species